rnacentral:rRNA from 1 species
AGUGAACGCUGGCGGCAGGCCUAAUACAUGCAAGUCGAACGGCAGCACAGCAGAGCUUGCUCUGUGGGUGGCGAGUGGCGGACGGGCGAGGAAUACAUGGGAAUCUGCCCAGUCGUGGGGGAUAACGUAGGGAAACUUACGCUAAUACCGCAUGCGCCCUUCGGGGGAAAGCCGGGGACCUUCGGGCCUGGCGCGAUUGGAUGAGCCCAUGUCGGAUUAGCUAGUUGGCGGGGUAAUGGCCCACCAAGGCGACGAUCCGUAGCUGGUCUGAGAGGAUGAUCAGCCACACUGGAACUGAGACACGGUCCAGACUCCUACGGGAGGCAGCAGUAGGGAAUAUUGGACAAUGGGCGCAAGCCUGAUCCAGCCAUGCCGCGUGAGUGAAGAAGGCCCUCGGGUUGUAAAGCU